rnacentral:rRNA from 1 species
AAUCAACGCUGGCGGCGUGCCUAACACAUGCAAGUCGAACGAGAAAGUGACUUCGGUCACUGGACAGUGGCGUCCGGGUGAGUAACACGUGGGUAAUCUACCUUCGGGUGGGGAAUAACGUCUCGAAAGAGACGCUAAUACCGCAUAAUGCAGCGGCACCUUAUGGUGAAUAGUUGUUAAAGCGGGGGAUCGCAAGACCUCGCGCCUGAAGAGGAGCCUGCGGCAGAUUAGCUUGUUGGUGAGGUAAUGGCUCACCAAGGCUGCGAUCUGUAGCUGGUCUGAGAGGACGGCCAGCCACACUGGCACUGACACACGGGCCAGACUCCUACGGGAGGCAGCAGUGGGGAAUUUUGGGCAAUGGGCGCAAGCCUGACCCAGCAACGCCGCGUGAGGGAGGAAAUCCUUCGGGAUGUAAACCUCAUAAGUAAGGGAAGAGCGCGGAAGAUUGAAUAC